GAUGAACGCUGGCGGCGUGCCUAAUACAUGCAAGUCGAGCGAACGGACGAGAAGCUUGCUUCUCUGAUGUUAGCGGCGGACGGGUGAGUAGCACGUGGAUAACCUACCUAUAAGACUGGGAUAACUUCGGGAAACCGGAGCUAAUACCGGAUGAUAUUUUGAACCGCAUGGUUCAAAAGUGAAAGACGGUCUUGCUGUCACUUAUAGAUGGAUCCGCGCUGCAUUAGCUGGUUGGUAAGGUAACGGCUUACCAAGGCAACGAUGCAUAGCCGACCUGAGAGGGUGAUCGGCCACACUGGAACUGAGACACGGUCCAGACUCCUACGGGAGGCAGCAGUAGGGAAUCUUCCGCAAUGGGCGAAAGCCUGACGGAGCAACGCCGCGUGAGUGAUGAAGGUCUUCGGAUCGUAAAACUCUGUUAUUAGGGAAGAACAUAUGUGUAAGUAACUGUGCACAUCUUGACGGUACCUAAUCAGAAAGCCACGGCUAACUACGUG
rnacentral:rRNA from 1 species